rnacentral:rRNA from 1 species
GCAGUAGCCGCGGGAACACAGAGGGUGCGAGCGUUAAUCGGAUUUACUGGGCGUAAAGCGUGCGUAGGCGGCUUUUUAAGUCGGAUGUGAAAUCCCUGAGCUUAACUUAGGAAUUGCAUUCGAUACUGGGAAGCUAGAGUAUGGGAGAGGAUGGUAGAAUUCCAGGUGUAGCGGUGAAAUGCGUAGAGAUCUGGAGGAAUACCGAUGGCGAAGGCAGCCAUCUGGGACAACACUGACGCUGAGGCACGAAAGCGUGGGGAGCAAACAGGAUUAGAUACCCGUGUAGUCCCUGUCUCUUAUAC